UACAGAGGUCUCAAGCGUUGUUCGGAUUCAUUGGGCGUAAAGGGUGCGUAGGCGGCGCGGUAAGUCGGGUGUGAAAUCUCGGAGCUUAACUCCGAAACUGCAUUCGAUACUGCCGUGCUUGAGGACUGGAGAGGAGACUGGAAUUUACGGUGUAGCGGUGAAAUGCGUAGAUAUCGUAAGGAACACCGGUGGCGAAGGCGGCAUCCUGGACCAAUUCUGACACUGAGGAGCGAAAGCCAGGGGAGCAAACGGG
rnacentral:rRNA from 1 species